rnacentral:rRNA from 2 species
UAAGAUGAGAGUUUGAUCCUGGCUCAGGACGAACGCUGGCGGCGUGCCUAAUACAUGCAAGUCGAACGAGUCCUCCCAAUUUGAUUUUAUGCUUGCAUAAAUGAUUUUUGGAUUCGGGACGAGUGGCGAACUGGUGAGUAACACGUGGGUAACCUGCCCUGAAGUAGGGGAUAACAUUUGGAAACAGAUGCUAAUACCGUAUAAUUAGUUGGAACCACAUGGUUCCAACUUGAAAGAUGGCUCUGCUAUCACUUUAGGAUGGACCCGCGGCGUAUUAGCUAGUUGGUGAGAUAAAAGCUCACCAAGGCGAUGAUACGUAGCCGACCUGAGAGGGUAAUCGGCCACAUUGGGACUGAGACACGGCCCAGACUCCUACGGGAGGCAGCAGUAGGGAAUCUUCCACAAUGGACGAAAGUCUGAUGGAGCAACGCCGCGUGAGUGAAGAAGGGUUUCGGCUCGUAAAACUCUGUUGUUAAAGAAGAACAAGUGUAAGAGUAACUGUUUACGCUUUGACGGUAUUUAACCAGAAAGCCACGGCUAACUACGUGCCAGCAGCCGCGGUAAUACGUAGGUGGCAAGCGUUGUCCGGAUUUAUUGGGCGUAAAGCGAGCGCAGGUGGUUCUUUAAGUCUGUUGUGAAAGCCCUCAGCUCAACUGAGGAAGUGCAGCGGAAACUAAAGGACUUGAGUACAGAAGAGGAUAGUGGAACUCCAUGUGUAGCGGUGAAAUGCGUAGAUAUAUGGAAGAACACCAGUGGCGAAGGCGGCUAUCUGGUCUGUUACUGACACUGAGGCUCGAAAGCAUGGGUAGCGAACAGGAUUAGAUACCCUGGUAGUCCAUGCCGUAAACGAUGAAUACUAGGUGUUGGAGGGUUUCCGCCCUUCAGUGCCGCAGCUAACGCAUUAAGUAUUCCGCCUGGGGAGUACGACCGCAAGGUUGAAACUCAAAGGAAUUGACGGGGGCCCGCACAAGUGGUGGAGCAUGUGGUUUAAUUCGAUGCUACGCGAAGAACCUUACCAGGUCUUGACAUCUUCUGCCAACCUAAGAGAUUAGGCGUUCCUUCGGGGACAGAAUGACAGGUGGUGCAUGGUUGUCGUCAGCUCGUGUCGUGAGAUGUUGGGUUAAGUCCCGCAACGAGCGCAACCCUUAUUAUUAGUUGCCAGCAUUAAGUUGGGCACUCUAGUGAGACUGCCGGUGAUAAACCGGAGGAAGGUGGGGAUGACGUCAAAUCAUCAUGCCCCUUAUGACCUGGGCUACACACGUGCUACAAUGGAUGGUACAACGAGUYGCGAAACCGCGAGGUCAAGCUAAUCUCUUAAAGCCAUUCUCAGUUCGGAUUGCAGGCUGCAACUCGCCUGCAUGAAGUUGGAAUCACUAGUAAUCGUGGAUCAGCAUGCCACGGUGAAUACGUUCCCGGGCCUUGUACACACCGCCCGUCACACCAUGAGAGUUUGUAACACCCAAAGACGAUGGAGUAACCUUCGGGAGCUAGUUGUCUAAGGUGGGACAGAUGAUUAGGGUGAAGUCGUAACAAGGUAGCCGUAGGAGAA